rnacentral:lncRNA from 1 species
UUUCACCCCCCCGUCAUCUGACCCUCCCGCUAUCUUUGACGGACGUAUCUCCCUUCCCCGUCCUGUUUGCUGCCAUGCGCCGCGAGGCGUCGCGAUUCCUAUCUCUGUCCCGCUUUGUCGCAUCUACGCUAGAUCCUAGGUUCGCUUCUAGUUCUUCUUGAACUCUUCCAAGUCUCUAUACCUUAGCAGGGACUGUCAAUGACCGCCGUUAUAUCUGCUUCUAGUCCAAAAUCCGCUAAUAAUAGAAAGGAACCGCGUCGACUAUACUCAAAACAGGCAACAAUUUCCAAUCGCUUUUGAUGUAGACGCAGAUACCGCACUAAAUGCGACGCUACUCUGUGUGGCGGCCAACGCGCAUGUAUUGGGAUGACCAGGGAGAAUUGUGCUGUAAUAUCCAACGACUCGUGCGUUUCGUUUUUGGAAACACAAUAUCAGCAUAACGACUAGCUGGCAAUCUGGCAUCUCUAAUAUUACUCGUGAUCGCUGUUGAUAACUUCUAUUCGUUUCGAGGUUUCACUUCCAAAUUUUUCCGUGAUUUUUCCUGAGCCCAGC